rnacentral:rRNA from 1 species
GACGGAGGGUGCUAGCGUUUUUCGGAAUCACUGGGCGUAAAGGGCGCGUAGGCGGCCUUUGGUGUCGGAUGUGAAAGCCCGGGGCUCAACUCCGGAGGUGCAUCCGAAACUCAAAGGCUGGAGGCCGGAAGAGGAGGGUGGAAUACCCAGUGUAGAGGUGAAAUUCGUAGAUAUUGGGUGGAACACCGGUGGCGAAAGCGGCUCUCUGGUCCGGUCCUGACGCUGAGGCGCGAAAGCGUGGGGAGCAAACAGG